rnacentral:rRNA from 1 species
UACGAAGGGGACUAGCGUUGUUCGGAAUUACUGGGUGUAAAGCGCGUGUAGGCGGGAGGCCAAGUCUGUGGUGAAAUCGCUCGGCUCAACUGGGCGGGGUCCGUGGAAACUGGUCACCUGGAGGACGGUAGAGGCGAGUGGAAUUCCCGGUGUAGUGGUGAAAUGCGUAGAGAUCGGGAGGAACACCAGUGGCGAAGGCGGCUCGCUGGGCCGGACCUGACGCUGAGACGCGAAGGCGUGGGGAGCGAACGGG